AACAGUAGCUUUAAUGAAUUAAUGCACAAUAUUUUGAAAAAUCUUUGACCUUGCUCAUAAGCAGAUGCCUGCCUUGAAGAAACACUCCAAGUCUGCCGUGAUUCCGAGCGAAAUGCCAAGGCAGAGUCAAGACAAUCAUUACCUUUAGGGCUGAAACCUGGGCAUGAGGCUGCCCCUUCUGGGAUGCCUCCUAACCAGUCUGAUGUACUGGGGAAGGAGGAGUGAGGUGGGGUCUUCCUCGGGUCCCAGAAGCUGAAAACCCAGCCCUUCCUUUGCCAUCAGUUCUGUGCCAAGGCUGGAAGAUGCUGCUGGAGUGCAGGGCUUCCCCCGUGUGGGUGCUGCAGCUCACACAGGAGCUUGGUGGAGGAAUGAAGGAUGGAUUCUGGGGGUAGCCGGAGGGGAGGGGGCUCACUGGGAGCCCAGAGAACAUGGCUGGACCUCCCUGUGAGGAGCCAGAUGGUGUCGCAGCCCCCUGUGGGGGCUUGAGCACGUGGAGCAGGAAGGCCGAGGCCUGGAACCCCAAGAACUGGUCCUCAGGGUUGGCAAAAUGUACCAUGCAGAACCAAGAGAGGCAGCCACUGCCGGCCUGGGCCACAGAGCCCUGCCUCAGGCUGUUGGGAUAUAAGCCGCCUCCAGAAGGCAGAGCCUGCUGUCCAUCAACCAGGCAGGCUGGUGGGCUUCACUCCUGUUUCCAACCUGGAUUGUGAUCACUGGCCCCAGUACUUGUUAGUUGCAUCAGCUACAGCCAUGGUAUCAAUCCACCUGGUGUAAACGACUUUCAGGAGCCUCUGGUUUUUAAAGCACAAUACUACCUGCCAUGGUUCUAAGAAAUUACAUGGUUAUCAAAAUUGAUCUUAAUAAGCUCCAAAGUAUGAAGCAGGGCCAAGGGCUGUGAUCAGACCCAGUCCACAUCCCUCCCCUUCCUCUUCCUAGAUCUUGCAAGAUGGUUCCCUUGUUUACAACUCCACUGGAUGAUCCCUUUUAUAGCCAGCAGCUCCCUAGAUGCAACUGGUGACUGGAUGUGAAGAUGGCUACCACCAUAGACUGUAAGAGCCUCUUCCCUGAAAGUGUCUUCCUUCACCAGGGCCUGCCAGUAGAGAAAUGCAGGGGGCUUUGAACCUCAGCUCCAAACUCUAAAAUGCCUUGCCAGCAACGUGAUUGGAGCAUACUGCUAAGUGGGAAUCAAAGAAGCUGGAAUUUCACACUGAUUGCAGGAAGAGUGGCGGAGAAGGUUCUGUCUCAGAUCAGGAGUGGAUGGUUGGGCUAGGUUUCUAGCAGCCUUUAAGCUCCCUCCCUUAGAAGCUUUUGUUGUCUCUCAAGGAGAGACACCUCUGCCCAGCCCUACCGUUCCUGAGUCGUCUUUCAUCUGGGGGAGAAAAAAAGAUGUGAAAGAUGGAACCUGCUGUUCUGUUUCAGCACAGCAGGCCAUGAAGACAGAAGGAUUCGGUGUGGAUUCUUCCUCCCAGCAAAGGGUGGUCCCAGGAAUCCAAGGCCCUUGAGAGGUGGGCCACCCUCGUUCCUCUCUGAGUAGGGGAGGGGGCUUCUGUUCUCAGAUGUUGUUUGAAAAUCUCCGAGUAAUCUUAGAAGAAGACAGAUGUGAGGUGCAAGCAAUCCUUUCCUCAGGGGUGUCUUCGCCACUCAUGGAUAAGGUCGUGGCUUAGCCCUCAGAAUUGAAUCCAGGCUGACAGGCAGUUGACACAUUUCCAGGGUGUGGAAUUUGGGCACCAGGUUUCAGCCACAAUUCUGCUAGGCCUGGGUGUUUCUGCUCCAUAACUCCAGGAACUGGGAACCCUGCCAGUUGUUUGUUGCCUGAAGUUCAUCCCACCACACUAGAGAGCAGGACGGGAUUCUUCUGAGCAGCAAGAUGGACCCAAUCAUUGCAGAACAUUCUAUGGGAUUCCAAAGGGAAGGCUUCGGGGAGUUGCUGUCAUGUGCGGGCCACCAGCAUUUUUAGAGUGAGAAUGAGAGGAGAUGGUCUGGAUCUGCGAGAUGACUCGACUCUACGGUCUGUGCAUGAUCAUGGGGGAGGUACCAGGAGCAGGCAGCUGGGGAUGGUCCCCAUGUGGCUCCCAGGAACAUGCUCUCAUUUUGGAGAGCAGACCAGGUUUUUUGUGAAUAAUUCAGUAUUAUAAAAGUAGGAGGCAGUUUCUCCCACCAGUUCAAUACCAGCUGAGAGCAUACUUGUUUCUCACGGGUUAGUAUCUCUCAGCAAUGGGGGACUGUUGCAUUAUUAUCAUGUGCAGAAUGUCCAAGGUGCUUCCUCGUGGGGUAUCUGGAGAGAGACCAAUUCACAUCCUGUGCUUUGGGGGCAGGUGUCAGAAAAGGUGCAGGUCAUAAGCCUGGGCCCAAGGGAAUGUCACAGAUGGGGGAGGUUCCUUUAUCCAACAGAGAACAGGGAGAUGACCUCCAGGGUAGCUACCCAGGCCAGGGAGGCACUCCUGAGACAGUCUCUGAGCUGGCAUCAAACACCUACUUCAAAAUGACCGAUGUGGCAUAAACCCAACCUAAGGGGUCAUGACAUACAGCAGAUUGAGCUUUUAGACGUUUCCUGCCUCAGUCCAUUAGGGCUCUCUAUUUAGAGUUGCCAGUCAUGGGGGAGGUAGGGGAAGUUCUCUGAACUCAAGUUGCACAUCACUAAUGGCUCCUUGCCAAAGCCACAGGAAUAUCCCUCUGGAAAAGUGAGCUGUGACAGUGCCAGGUGUCUAAUGACUGUUGGUGGAAAAUGCAGUGAAAGGAACCAUGCCCCCCCCC
rnacentral:lncRNA from 10 species